CCCCUUUUUGAUAUUAACCCUAGCCGCUUUCAUCCAUUCAACCCAAAGAAGACAAAUCCAAGCCGCCAUGUAGCCACCGCAAACUGUGGCCGACGGAAGGUGGUCCAUUCAGAUUCUAACUCCGUUCAGACUUGCAAUCAAGAAUCUAAUCUCUAUGAUAGCAAAGAAUCAAAAAGAUAGUAUCACCCUCUUUAUUAGAUUUGGUUUCAAUAGAGAAGAAACUCCGAUAUAUAUCAACGGUCUACGAUUCAGGUGACAGAUGAGUGUCAGGCGCAUGGAAGGCCGGCGGUUGGUGCCCCGAAUGGUGGUGGUGGCGCGCGUGAUGGCUAAGGCUAAGGGGAGUGGCUGCUGAAAACUUGGUGACUAGGGUUUUUUUGGUUGCUGAAAAUGUUUAGUUUGUUGGGCUAGGUGGGCUUUAGGUUUUUUAUUAUCUGGGUCAUUUGAUGUGGACUGGGCUUGCUGUUUGGGUUCUGUAAUUGUUUUAUUUGGUUUUGGGCCGGGCAUAAUUUGGGCUAUACACUCACCUUGCUUCCUUUAGGCGUGGGAUUACUAUCUCCUUGAACACUGGUUUGCUGGUAAAAUGGGGGAAUUUGAUUUUUUUUCAAUUUUUAUAUAA